rnacentral:tRNA from 1 species
UUUAUAGUUUAAUGGAUAAAACACUAAUUUACGAAGUUAGGGCUAAUGGUUCAAAUCCAUUUAA